CGGUAAAAGAACGAUCCACGUGUCCUGCUGUCCUUCAUUCCACCGGAGUCUGUCUCAUACAUAAUCAGAUUUCAGUGGAGUGAAGCACAAGAGGCAUGUAGCAGUCUCAGCACAACCUG
rnacentral:pre_miRNA from 14 species